rnacentral:rRNA from 1 species
GAUCAUGGCUCAGAUUGAACGCUGGCGGCAGGCCUAACACAUGCAAGUCGAACGGUAACAGGAAGCAGCUUGCUGCUUCGCUGACGAGUGGCGGACGGGUGAGUAAUGUCUGGGAAACUGCCUGAUGGGAGGGGGGAUAACUACUGGAAACGGUAGCUAAUACCGCAUAACGUCGCAAGACCAAAGAGGGGGGACCUUCGGGCCUCUUGCCAUCGGAUGUGCCCCAGAUGGGAUUAGCUAGG